GUUUAAUUCCCUUCGUCUGCUGAGGAGAAUCAGUCUCUCGCUGCGGAACCACUAUGGUUUCUUUCGGAAAAAGAAGAGUGGUGAUGCUUUUUAUACUUCUAGCAACAGGACUUUUCACAAUUAACAUCCAUGCACAUAUCAAGCAUACAGCAUAUAGCAAAACAUCCCAGCUCGCAAAUAUCAGCAUUGUGAUGGAUGCGCAAGAGAUCAAGUCGGAGAUAACAAAUAGCGAAACAAAAUUGCAAGCCGAAGCAGAGGAGAAAAUCAGAAAACUUAAGGUGCUGUGCUGGGUUCCGGUGGCAGCCAAAAACCACAACACAUCGGCGCGCGUUGUCAUGGAAACCUGGGGGAAGCGUUGUGACAGACUUGUUUUCAUGAGUUCAGUGAACGACCCGUCCAUCGGCGCCGUGAACCUGGGCGUCAAGGAAACCUACAACAACCUCUGGCUCAAGACGCGAGCAGCUCUCAGAUAUAUCUAUAGCCAGUAUCUCAAGGACUACGACUGGUUUAUGAAGGCUGAUGAUGACACAUACGUGGUGGUCGAGAAUCUCAAAUACUUGCUCACCUCGUACGAUACAAAUGAACCCAGCAUACUUGGCUCUCGCUUCUUCACUGGUUACUUUAAGGCCGGCUACAUGACAGGAGGCGCCGGCUAUGCCUUGAGCCGCGCCGCCAUCAGCGUGUUUGUGGAGAAGGCGCUUCCGGACCCUAGGAAGUGUCCCCUCACCUGGAAGAAGAUCGGUUUCCCUUGCGAGGACGUCGCUCUCGCUAAGUGUCUGUCGGAGAUGGGCGUGAAGUUCAUCGACACCCGCGACAACGAGGGCCGAGGACGCUUCUUCCAGCAACCCCUGAAAGCCGCCCUCACGGACCCCAAGACGCUGCUGACCAGACCCUUCUACAAGGUCACCACGGGCCUGAACUGCUGCUCGGACACGGCUGUAACCUUCCACGACCUGAGCGCCAGGGACAUGUACAUGUUCGACUAUCUGUUAUACGAAUUACGGCCUUAUGGCGUCAUGAAGAAUGUCAAGUUCCCUCCUGCAAUGGCGACCGGAAGCUAAAGUGCAGAAGCUCCUUCGUUAAUAUCAACUCGUCUAUCAAACAAUACAAGCGUGGAUAUCCUCGGUAGAUAAUGCCUCUACAAACAAUAGGUAAUAGAACAGGCGUUCAAACCAGACAGAGUAACUCUCUUCACGUCGAAAGGUCAAGGCAAAUCCGAGGACCCGAGAUCUGGAACAACCUACCACUAAAUAUUUUCUUCAAAAUAGAAUGAAAGAAGCAUUUAUAAAGUUUAGCAUCAGGCAUUUAAAUACAAGGGCUAACAAUGUACCUUUCUAAUGUUGUGACCAUCUUAUUUUUAACUCUCCUACUAAUGUACCUGAUUCUAUAUUACUGUGAACAUCUAUGUAAAACGAAGAAUCAUUGUAACAUAUGGAAUAAAUUGUUUUGAAUUUGA